CGGCGGACGGGUUAGUAACGCGUGGGAAUAUGCCCUUUGGUACGGAAUAGCCUCUGGAAACGGAGAGUAAUACCGUAUGUGCCCUUCGGGGGAGAGAUUUAUCGCCAAAGGAUUAGCCCGCGUUAGAUUAGGUAGUUGGUGGGGUAAUGGCCUACCAAGCCUACGAUCUAUAGCUGGUUUUAGAGGAUGAUCAGCAACACUGGGACUGAGACACGGCCCAGACUCCUACGGGAGGCAGCAGUGGGGAAUCUUGGACAAUGGGGGCAACCCUGAUCCAGCCAUGCCGCGUGAGUGAUGAAGGCCUUAGGGUCGUAAAGCUCUUUCGCCUGUGAAGAUAAUGACGGUAGCAGGUAAAGAAACCCCGGCUAACUCCGUGCCAGCAGCCGCGGUAAUACGGAGGGGGUUAGCGUUGUUCGGAAUUACUGGGCGUAAAGCGCACGUAGGCGGAUCGGAAAGUUGGGGGUGAAAUCCCGGGGCUCAACCCCGGAACUGCCUCCAAAACUAUCGGUCUAGAGUUCGAGAGAGGUGAGUGGAAUUCCAAGUGUAGAGGUGAAAUUCGUAGAUAUUUGGAGGAACACCAGUGGCGAAGGCGGCUCACUGGCUCGAUACUGACGCUGAGGUGCGAAAGUGUGGGGAGCAAACAGGAUUAGAUACCCUGGUAGUCCACACCGUAAACGAUGAAUGCCAGUCGUCGGGUAGCAUGCUAUUCGGUGACACACCUAACGGAUUAAGCAUUCCGCCUGGGGAGUACGGUCGCAAGAUUAAAACUCAAAGGAAUUGACGGGGCCCGCACAAGCGGUGGAGCAUGUGUUUAAUUCGAAGCAACGCGCAGAACCUUACCAACCCUUGACAUCC
rnacentral:rRNA from 1 species